AAGCAGUGGAGAUGACAUCAGUAAGGUGAUAGAAUAUGAGUUUUCAACCCUCAUUCCCUUGUUCUUUCACAGAAAAAACACUGAUUUUGACAACCACCCAUAGAUGACAGUACGUUUUGGGAGGCCAGGAGUCCAGUGGUAAGGUCCCAGCAUACCACUGGAGCAAAACAUCUGAGAAUACACACGUUAAAGAAGGACUUUUUCAGAAAGCUGGAGAUGAAAGAACAACGAAACUUUACAAUGUCUAUGGUCCGUGCAGAGAUCAAGGUCUGUCAGAGACAUCUUUCCCUGUGGUUCCCUCAACUCCACAAGCCUUUGGGUCUUCAGAUUGAGAGGAGCAGAACAUGAGGUACUGAACUCAAGAGGUCUCACGUGCACUUGGACCUGAUUUACAUGACAAGGUUCUGGCCUGAUUCAGUAACAUGAUACAAUCUUAUGUGGGGUAUUGGGAGGUUGAGUAUGUAUUUUUCAUGGGGAAGAAUGUAAAUAAUCCAUGGAAUAAAAAAUAUGACUUUUAAAAUGUGGCCUCAGAAUCCUUUGCACUCCUCUCAUUAAGAAGUAAGGUCUAUGAGUUUCCCUUUGAAUUUGAGUGGGCUUUUGACUUCUUCAUUCAAUACUGCAAGUUUCAAGUGAUGUUAUGUGACUUCUAAAUCUAGAUUAUAAAAGGUCUUGCAGAUUUUGCAUAAUUUUUUUAAAUUACACAAAAAUCAUUUUUGCAUAAUUCUCCUUCCUGGAGCUUUCAUUCUUGUACAUUCCCUCCCAGAAUCUAGCCACCAUGCUGCGAGAAUUCCAAGCCUCACAGAGAGGGCCCGUGUAGGUUCAAAGUACUAGAGUCCCAGUUGAGACUGUCCUUGAGCCACCACACCCCGAAAAGCAGACUGUGGGUAGAGUUAAUAUUGGAAAUGUUUUCUCCAGUCUUAGUUGUCCCAGCCCCCGGCUUCUAGAGGUAUCUCCAGCUGUUUAAGAGAUCUCAACUGAGGUAGCAGAUAUGGUAAAGUUCUAAAAUGCCACUCCUAUUCUGUACACCCUAAUUUCCAAAUUCACAUAAUUUGUAACCAUAAUAAAGCAAUUGCAAUCAUGUACUACUAAAAUAUAGGAUAUUUUAAACACAGCAACUUUAAAAGAAGUAUUGACAUAUUUUGCUACAUUGAAGUCAUGCUCUCUGUAGCCAAGAGACUCUCUUUUCACUUCUUUUUAAUUAAACUCAUACUUCCUCCAACUCAUACUUGUGAAAUAUCAUUAUUUAUGAGUAUUGAGCAAAACAUUAUUCAAAACUACAUAUACAGCAUUUAUUCCUUUAAAUGGUCCAUGUCUUUUUGAAAACCUUCUUAGCUAGACCUUCCCUGUUUUCUAGUUAAAUUCCUGCUAAUCUAACCUAAACUAUCAGCAACAUCUCAAGGAUAACUAUGGAGGAAAUGUUCCACCUCUUGAAAUAAACAAGGAUAAAAGAAAAUUCAUCUUUGGCAUUUUUAACUCACUGUAAAAUUAAGUAUAUGG
rnacentral:lncRNA from 1 species